ACGCAAUCGUCCACAUCGAUUCCCCUCGCCUCCGCAACUCCCCUCGCCCCCUCCCACUUCCAACACUCGCCUCACCCAUUUUGCCUCUGUGCGCCGGCGCCACAGGCUCCGCUACCUCUCCCAUUGACCUGCGCGCGGUGGCCGACCCUCGGCACGGCAGCGACAACCCUCCUCCUCCUCCUCCACGCACCUCUCCGCUCGCGCCGCAAGGGCAGGGCAUUGGAGGUCCCUGCCGAGUGCUACGCCAGUGCAGCAGAUGGGCACCCCGGCCACGAGGGACCCAAACGGCCGCCAUCCCAAGCCACGACGUGUCCGAGCAGGCCUGCCGAUGGUCGCCGGCGCGGUUGCCCCUGAUACGGCAUCGUCUCGUAGGGCCGUGCUUUCUCCUGUGCUCCAUGAAACCCUAGGUGUAUGCUCUUCCUCUCUCUAUCCUCUCCCUUUCCAUACUGACUCCCCAUAUCCAAGCGCUCUUGGAGGUCCCUCGCAGUACCACGGCUACCUGCUCUGGCUGCACGCGGAAUAUUGCUGGGAUGAGGAUUAUGGUGGAUUUGGGUAACGAACGUCUGCUAUGCUUGUUGCUCUGUAUUAUUGUCGCUUUUUGCUAUGUACUGCUGCCUUCCUACGGCCUGUGGUUUAGGUGUUUGAUUAAAUGCCUAUUCAUAUUGAGAUCCUAAUACCUGGUAUUAUUUUGUUGCAUGUAGUUUCUAUUUAGGAAGUCAAUUCGUGCAUAGCAUCAGCUUAUAUUUUGUACAUUUGCCAUGUACAGACUGCUAUUGGUGCCUGGUUUAAGACUUGAUGUAAAUCUUUGGUCUGAACAAAAAGAAAAAAGGUAGCAUUUUCUUUGUUAUGUAUGCUGCCUUCAGAGUUGGAAUUUGAUUGAUUGAGUCUAAUAGAAGAACAUAAUUCGUGGCCACAUUUCUAUUAUCUUGAUAAGAUGUGUUGGCCUCUGGUUUGCUGAAGGGAACCACAUUCUUUGUGUUGUAUGAUGCCUUCAGAUUUGGGGUUUGAUUGAUUGAUUCUUAUAGAACAAGAUAAUUAGAGGACACAUUGCUAUUAUCUUGAUAGGAUCCGCUGCCCUUGUCUUUGCUUUCUUUCUUAAAAUACUUCUACUGCAAAAUUCAUGUUGCUUGAGUAAUGCAUGGUUACUAUGUUCUUGGUUCCUUUCUUUCUUAAAAUACUUAUGUCGCAAAAUCCAUGGUGCUUGAGCCAUGCAUGGCUGUGCCGUGUGCAGUCAAAUCCAGUGCCCCUAUGGCUGGAACCAUUGUCUCCUCGCCAGAUCCAGAGCGGCGGCACAAUAGCAGAGGGCCACAGACGCGCUCCUCAUCUAGGUUACGGUGACUGCCUUUGUUGGCUGGAGUUGGCAAUAUGGAUAUGAGGAAGAAAACAAAUUUAUCUCAUUGUUGAUAAAAGUAAUUUCUUGAAACUGUUAAUAUGCAAAGCCAUUUAAGUUAUUUCUAGAAGUUUGAUGAAUUUGGCUAACUUUGACUUUGCAUGAUAAUAGUGUUAAAUUAUUAACUAGCAUAUAUGACUCAUCCAUGGAUCCAUAAUACUAAUUUAUAGUUAAAUGUGAGACUUUUGAAAGCUUUGCUGCAAAGUUUGCUUACAGAAAAAUGGCCUCUGUCCAUUGUGUGUCACUCAGUUUAUUGCAAUAUUAGCAUGUUGGUACAUGUGUUUUUAUGGUGCCUUUUGUGCCAACAAAGCAUACCUGAACAUUACACAAUCAUCUGUUAAUUCAAGUGACUAUUUAGCUAAUGUGUCGAACCUGAAGUCGCUCUCUAUUGGACCAAAAAUUUUGCUCAGGAGGAUACUCAAACUUCUAAACUAGCUUAUUAAGCUGUAAGCUUUGACUAGAUCAAUGGGCACGUUUAGGUUUUCCUUUAGUAGUUUGUGUACUUUUUUGAAAGAAUAAAAGUUCAAGUUUUCAGGAAAGCUGGAUUUUGUUUGUUAUCUCAGCAUUUGUUUAUGGCUUCUUGUAUUUAGUCAAAAUUCUGAUUUUUAGCAUUAUCUUUUACUUUUAUUCGUAGCAUUCUUAUUUACUCAUAUGCUGAUGAUAAUAUCCUAUGUGCUUACCAAGUUAUGUAUUUAUUAUGCUAUAGAAACAACAAUUAAACAAACAGAAGAUGCAUUUAGGGAUUUCUUUAUUAUAUACACAAUGCUAAGGAGCUUGCCAUAUGUGAAGAAAUCAGCUGACUCUUAAAUAUCUAUUCCGCUUAUCUUCCCUAGCUUUCUGUAAGUAUCUAUGAUAAAAAGGUCACCCUCUAUGUCCACAACCACAUUAUGACUGUUAUCUGAAACCUUUGUCCUCCCAUGUUGGGUCCAUGCUCUGCUGUUUUUAUCCAAAAAUAUCUCCACUCGAAUCCCGACAUAGGCAGCUUUAAAGGUGAGGGUUUGCUAAAACUUGCAUGCUAUUCACACUCUCCUAUUGUUACUAUCUCUAGAUCCUUAUUAGUUAGUCAUAUAUGGUAUAAUUCUAAUUCACCAGUUUGAAAUGUAGUUGACUAUCAUUCUACGAACAUCCUAUUAUGUACAGUAUAAUGAUAACUGGCAAGUGAAAGUGGUUUUCUCCCAUGUGUUCAUCCAAUGAAGAAUCGUCUAGAUUAUGCCAAUAUCUUUACAUUCUUAUUAACCAAUGCAGUCCUUUCUAGAUUACUGAGAGACUAAAAAAAUGUUUGCUUGUAGCACUAAUUUCUUUGUUGAUCGAGUUUCAGAUUUGUAUCUUCAGUUUAUUGAAGAACAGGUCCACGAUGUUGCUAGAUUUCAGAAAUAUCACAAUCGGUCAUGCUGCCACGUGCUCCUGUGAAGGACCUGCUUGAGGAGUUCGAGGUGGAGGCAAUCGAAGGCGAGAGCAUCCAGAGCCUCAUCUUCAUUGGCAUUUCUCUGUAACUUUCUUGCAGGCACUAAAUAGAGGAGGCAAGCUGCCAGGUGACUCCUGUACAUGCACAACGUUGGUGGAAUGUAACUGAAACAAUGUUGCGGCAUAAACGUGCAUAGCACUCAUGUUCAGAUAGUUCAGAGUUUGCUCAUAAAUCUAAAAACAAGCACUUUCUAGACCUUUUUUUUCUUUUAAACCAUGUGGGUGGUUUGUUUGAGAAAAUAUCAGAGUGCUCAAGAAA